CUCCACUCACACUUCCUUCUCUUUGUAGCUUUGCUUUUCUCCUCCCCGCACUCCUUGUGUUCUCUCCUCCCUGCAUCCUAACUCAAGUGGUCUUUGUCUUCUCCAUCUAUGGCUCUCGUGGUCGUCAUUGUUGCUUGAGUUCUCGCCGUCACUAUUGAUUGUGCUCUCAUCGUCAUUGUGUAGUGUGGUUGCUUUCGAUCUCUCAUCUCUGGAACCACAACAAUUGCCUUCUACAUCGACUUGGGGCACCACCAGUGGAGUCAAUCAACAUCGAAAGCGUCUUCGACCACCGCGUCACUCCUUCUGUUCCUCUUUAGUGAUGAUAGUUUCUCUUUUCUCCAUCAGAGCUUUUUCUCUAAACCAAAACACCCAAGUUUAAUUGCUAUACGCCACUGGUGACGUCAUAGUCAUGAUCGAGGAGCCACUGCUUGCGAUUAAGGGUGUAUCCAGUCCCAA
rnacentral:sRNA from 1 species